UACGGAGGAUGCGAGCGUUAUCCGGAUUUAUUGGGUUUAAAGGGUGCGUAGGCGGACGCUUAAGUCAGCGGUAAAAUUGCGGGGCUCAACCUCGUCGAGCCGUUGAAACUGGGUGCCUUGAGUGGGCGAGAAGUACGCGGAAUGCGUGGUGUAGCGGUGAAAUGCAUAGAUAUCACGCAGAACUCCGAUUGCGAAGGCAGCGUACCGGCGCCCAACUGACGUUGAGGCCCGAAAGCGUGGGGAGCAAACAGG
rnacentral:rRNA from 1 species